rnacentral:lncRNA from 1 species
UUUGAGGGUACACAUGCUGCAGACUGUGCUGCAUCAUCUGUCAAUCAGUCAACUGAUGUUUUGCCUAGGAAGCAAAUGAUUGUUGACCUCAAGGUGUUUUUUUUUUCAAUGUCAAUCCUGGUGUUCUUAAUGAUAUUGCAGGUGGUGAUACUGAGGUAGAGGAGGAGGACUCUGACGCAAGUCCUUCUAUGUGACCUGCUUAUGCUUUAUUUGCAUGUCCUNNNNNNNNNNNNCUAUGCUCUGAUUCUCUCUGCACUCUAUGUUUCUCUAUGAUCUGAUAACUCUGUGGAAGUUCUGCUCCUACUGUGUGGUACUGACUUUAUUUGUCAGAAU